rnacentral:lncRNA from 1 species
AGCAUUUCAGGCCAAGCCGCUGGCUGCCUGGCUUCUGUUUUUACUCCUUUCCUUCUGUCCCUUUCUGGGACGAGCCACACCUUCUCUGCUUUCUCUGGGCCCGUCCAGGACGCUGGGCCCGGGGCCUGGCGCGGUGAGCUGCAGAUAGCCGGGGGCGCAGGGCAGCCCGGAGGCUGGAGGGCGACCUGGAAGGCUGGACCGGUUCGGGGCAUCUGGUGCUCAAGGAAAGUCAGCUCCCGCCGCCCCUCGGGGCCAGGUGGGUGCAUGAAGUACCCGGUGGCCCAGGUGCCUUUCCCCAACCCAAGGAGCUCAGAACUCUUGGCAGUUCGACGUUUGCAAACAAACCAAAGAGGAGCAGAAAGUUUUCAGACUCAGAGGCGACAUCCCAACAGCUUGGCUUGAAGGAGUACUUUAGGACUCAGAACAACAGGAUGAAGACAGCAGCUAAAAUAGAACACACCAGCAGAGACGUUCAGCUCCUUGAGCUGUGCUUCCGAAGCUCAAGCAUGGCAGAGUGGCCUUGUUAAAUCAGAGUUCAGGGUGCCACCCUGACAGUUUCUGAUUCCGUAGGUGCCCAGUAGGGACCAAGAAUCCUUUUUUUUUUUCCUUUUUCUUUUUAAUAGAGUCAGGGUCUUGCUAUGUUGCCCACAUGGGUCUCAAAUUCAAGCGAUCCUCCCACCUCGACCUCCCAAAGCA